rnacentral:rRNA from 1 species
UACGAAGGGGGCUAGCGUUGUUCGGAAUUACUGGGCGUAAAGCGCACGCAGGCGGCUCGUUAAAUUAGAAGUGAAAGCCCUGGGCUCAACCCGGGAAUUGCUUUUAAGACUGGCGAGCUUGAAUCCAGAAGAGGGUAGUGGAAUUCCAAGUGUAGAGGUGAAAUUCGUAGAUAUUUGGAAGAACACCAGUGGCGAAGGCGACUACCUGGUCUGGGAUUGACGCUCAUGUGCGAAAGCGUGGGGAGCAAACAGG